GAAUUUCUGGUGUAGGGGUAAAAUCCGUAGAGAUCAGAAGGAAUACCGAUUGCGAAGGCGAUCUACUGGAACAUUACUGACGCUGAGAUGCGAAAGCGUGGGGAGCAAACAGGAUUAGAUACCCUGGUAGUCCACGCCCUAAACGAUGCACACUAGUUGUUGCUACGCUAGACAUAGCAGUAAUGCAGUUAACACAGUAAGUGUGCCGCCUGGGGAGUACGGUCGCAAGAUUAAAACUCAAAGGAAUAGACGGGGACCCGCACAAGCGGUGGAGCAUGUGGUUUAAUUCGACGAUACGCGAAGAACCUUACCUGGCCUUGACAUAGAAAGAACUUUCCAGAGACGGAUUGGUGCUAGUUUACUAGAGCUUUCAUACAGGUGCUGCACGGCUGUCGUCAGCUCGUGUCGUGAGAUGUUGGGUUAAGUCCCGCAACGAGCGCAACCCUCGUGUUUAGUUACUAACAGUUCGGCUGAGGACUCUAAACAGACUGCCUGGGUAACCAGGAGGAAGGUGAGGACGACGUCAAGUCAUCAUGGCCCUUACGGCCAGGGCUACACACGUGCUACAAUGGGGUAUACAAAGAGCUGCAAUACGGUGACGUGGAGCAAAUCUCAUAAAAUAUCUCCCAGUUCGGAUUGAAGUCUGCAACUCGACUUCAUGAAGUUGGAAUCGCUAGUAAUCGUAGAUCAGCAAUGCUACGGUGAAUACGUUCCCGGGUCUUGUACUCACCGCCCGUCACACCAUGGGAAUUGAAUUCAUUCGAAGCGGGGAUGCUAAAAUAGCUACCUUCCACAGUGGA
rnacentral:rRNA from 1 species